GGCGCUACAGGUGGGUGAAGUUAAGUGGCUGCUGGAGCGUCUCGGGGGACAGCCAGUGUCUGCGGCGCCGAGAGGGCCGUUCGUGGACUCAAAUGGGUAUCACCCCUACCGUUUAUAGUCCUCCCAAUAGUCUGCAUCUCGUUUUGUCGUGGCUGGUCGUGUACUCCUUGUGGAGUCUGAAGGUACAAGGGGAUCCCCAAAAUGGAGAAGUGGGUGUCUUUGGAAGGGCCUACUGAGUAACAUGGUUGGAGUGGCCAAAAGACUUUGUUUUUCUUUUGCUACUCAAAAGAAAGCUGGAAUACCAAAAAUUUUUACUUACGGAUAUCAGGUCUUAGUUAAGAUCGUGGUUUGAAUUCAAGCAUCUAAUUUUGCCUACUCUCCUGUUAAAAAUCAAGUUUAACAACCUAAACACAAGGACAAAGAGAUAACAGCAACAAAAUGUUGGAAGCUGGAGAGCACAAGUAUGAGUAUGAGAGACAGGGUCUCUGUCACCCAGGCUAGAGUGCAGUGACUUGAUCAAGCUCACAGCAGCCUCCAUCUCCUGGGGUCCAGCAAUCCUCGCACCUCAGCCUCCUGAGUAGCUAGGACUACAGAUAAUCAAGCUAAGCACACAGGAUGACUGCCCAAGAAGCAAGUGACCGCAAUGGUGAAGCUGGGCCUCCACCCUGCCGUCUGGCUGACUUCAAGGCCUGCACAGCCUCUUAAGCCGCAUCCUGCUUGCUGCCUCCAAGCUUUCCUGACUGCAGCCUUUUCUCCAGUCACUUUUGAUAGAGGAGUUAAGAAGAAAUUACUUAGGCAGAUAGUGAGGGUAUGGAAGUCCUCGGUAAGGUUUUCCUUUUAAUGAAAAGCAGCCCCAAAUCAUUUUCCUUUCUAACAAACAGCAGCCUGUAAAAUCAAGCUGCAGACAUAGAUGCCGGCAGUUGUGCCAAUCAUGUUCAGAAUGGUGGCUCCCUUCUCCCUUCUCUGCCAGCCAUAUGUACAGUAAGGAGCAGACAACAUGGCUCGGGCCAAGGGUAAAGUUGAUUUGCAUAAUAAGAUUAGGGUGGGGCCCACCAGCCUUCCCCUGCACUAUGUAAACAUCACGCCUGACUGAACCAAUCUGUGAGCCCUAUGUAAAUCAGACAAUGCCUUCUCAAGCCUGACUAUAAAAUCCUGUGAGUCCACUGCCAGCCAGUCUUUCCUCUGGGAAGCCCCUCUCUCUCCCUAGAGAGAGCUGGUUUCCUUUCUCCUUUCUUUUUCUUUUGCAUAUUAAACUUCCACUCCUAAACUCCU
rnacentral:lncRNA from 1 species